ACUCAGGAAAAUAUCAGAUUCAUUCCUAAAACUACACAGAAGUGCUCUGAAAACUCCCUACUUAAAUCAGUUUCAAGAUUUCUUUAUAGUUAUCAACUUAAUAUCUGUUAAUUAAAAUAAUAAAACAGCAUAUCCAUCCAUUCCUGGAUUCUAUCUACAGGAUUUUGCUUCCUCCUCCCCACAGGUACACCUGGACUACUAAGAAGGAACAACAAGGACAAAAAGGUGAAGGAUAUGGACUGAAACUUGGCCAACGAAACCUAUGACUCAGCAUUGCAAGAAAAAGCCAAGGGAAAGAAAGAAAGGGGAGGGAAGAUCAGAGCAGAAUACCGCCUACAUUGCCAUCGUUUCCUCCCAACAACAGCCACACAGAGGAAAAGGACCAAAACUAGUCUCCAUACUGGCUUCAGUGCUUCAGCCUGGCUUCAGAGAAACAAACCAGAAUUAAUUUGAUUUAUGUAACUGAUGUGAGUGACAUGUGGCCUUUCCUUGACCACAUCCACUCAGUGUCAUCAUUCUCUCAUGUGUUUUGAGAUAAAGACAAUAAACUUAAAUCUAGAUAUAUCAAGAAACCAUAAUUAUGAUAUUAUAUCCCAGGUAAUUCCUAAAAUCAGAAAACAGAUGUUUAAAUGAUGCAUCAUUCUAAUUGGCUCUCAGCAUUUGUCCCUAGCCACACAACUUCUGUGGUGGAGACCACAGCAGCUUUGCAGAGUUAAGUUUGCAGACAACCACCUUCUGGGCUUCCUCCCAUUUAGAACAAGUUAAUCAGCUUGUUCUGUAAAGCCAAAUUAAAUAUAUUAUUUCGGGAAAAUAUCCCUACUCUGAUUAAUUACUUGAAGCAAAACACAAACAAUUAUUGCACUCAUAAUUUUAAUGAAAUUCUUGUAAAAUUGGAGUACUUUGGGAGUACACAUGGGAGGAUUAAACCUGUAAAUUUCUCCUCAGAUGUAUGAAUUAAAAAUCUCUGCACUUUGGUGAGGUAUGAAAUUUAUUAAAAGAGCAUUGACAUGUUCCAUGACUCCUACUUCAAAGCAACUAAAUUAUCAGGAAUUACUAUGUUUUGUUCUAAAACUGCCUUCAAAAUACAAAAUUACUUCUAGUCUAAGUGCUUCAGUAAUUUUACAACUUUCCUGUUACAAACUUCCAUACAAACCAAUCAGAAAACUCACUGUUAGUGCUCUUGGUAACUAAAUUUUGUCUCAACAAUACGCUGCGUUAAAACAAUUACCUAACGUGUAAUGCUAAUGUAAGUAGGUCACAUUGUUUGCAUUAGAUUUGCCUUAAAAUUCUUCCUAAUAAAUCUAGUUGCAAGAGA